rnacentral:rRNA from 1 species
CCUACGGGAGGCAGCAGUGAGGAAUAUUGGUCAAUGGUCGGGAGACUGAACCAGCCAAGCCGCGUGAGGGAUGAAGGUACAGAGUAUCGUAAACCUCUUUUGUCAGGGAACAAAGGCGGGGACGUGUCCCCGGAUGAGUGUACCUGAAGAAAAAGCAUCGGCUAACUCCGUGCCAGCAGCCGCGGUAAUCCGGAGGAUGCGAGCGUUAUCCGGAUUUAUUGGGUUUAAAGGGUGCGCAGGCGGUCUGUUAAGUCAGCGGUCAAAGCCCGGGGCUCAACCCCGGCCCGCCGUUGAAACUGGCAGUCGCGAGUUGGAGAGAAGUAUGCGGAAUGCGCGGUGUAGCGGUGAAAUGCAUAGAUAUCGCGCAGAACUCCGAUUGCGAAGGCAGCAUGCCGGCUCCACACUGACGCUGAGGCACGAAAGCGUGGGUAUCGAACAGGAUUAGAUACCCUUGUAGUC